UUUAAUUCGAUGCAACGCGAAGAACCUUACCUACUCUUGACAUCCAGAGAAGCCAGCGGAGACGCAGGUGUGCCUUCGGGAGCUCUGAGACAGGUGCUGCAUGGCUGUCGUCAGCUCGUGUUGUGAAAUGUUGGGUUAAGUCCCGCAACGAGCGCAACCCUUAUCCUUGUUUGCCAGCGAGUAAUGUCGGGAACUCCAGGGAGACUGCCGGUGAUAAACCGGAGGAAGGUGGGGACGACGUCAAGUCAUCAUGGCCCUUACGAGUAGGGCUACACACGUGCUACAAUGGCGCAUACAGAGGGCGGCAAACUUGCGAAAGUGAGCGAAUCCCAAAAAGUGCGUCGUAGUCCGGAUUGGAGUCUGCAACUCGACUCCAUGAAGUCGGAAUCGCUAGUAAUCGUAGAUCAGAAUGCUA
rnacentral:rRNA from 1 species